rnacentral:rRNA from 1 species
AUGCCAGCUAAACGCGAUGCUGUGUGCGAAACGGCGACAACACAUCGACCGGGAAUCCUAUGCCUCCAGGAAACCAAGAUUGAUGUUUGGUCGCCGACCCUAGUCAAGGAUGUAGGAGGAGCGAGGCUGGCUGACUGCAUCGUCCUUCUGGCGAUAGGCACUAGGGGAGGGAUUGCAGUUCUUUGGGAUAACCAGAUCGUUUCCCAUGCUGUAGGAGAAUUUGCAAUCACUACAAAAGUCACCGUCCUGCGUUCGGCGACUACGUUCUGGCUAACCACAGUCUACGGGCCAGCGGAUGAGGGUAGAAAAGACGAUUUCCUACGUGAGCUAGCUAGAUCAGUGCCACCCUCGUCUGAGCCAUGGCUACUUACAGGCGAUUUCAACAUAAUCUAUGAGGCUAGGGACAAAAACAAUUUCAACUUAAAUAGGCGCAUUAUGGGUAGGUUUAGAGCUGUGAUCGACUCGGCUUGCCUGCGGGAGAUCAAGUGCAAAAAUAGACGUUUCACGUGGAGUAAUGAACGGCUAAACCCUACCUUGGUUAGCAUAGAUAAGUUUUUCUGCAAUGUGAACUGGGAGCUGCUCUUCCCCACUUAUGGGCUGAUGGCCUCUGCCACGGCAUGCUCUGAUCAUUGCCCGCUGAUCCUAGCACCGUGCGACGCCCCUAAGCGCCCUGCCCGCUUUCGCUUUGAGUCCUUCUGGCCAAAGUUCCCACAUUUUCAGGCCACCGUCGAGCGGGCUUGGAAUAGGCCAGUUCAGCAGCGCUGUGCGUUCUCAAGGUUGCAAACCAAGCUGACCCGCACUGACCAAGCAAACCAAGCGAUCUCAAGAUUUGGAGCAACUCUCUUUUCAGUGAUGCAAAGCUGCAGUUCCACAUUGCCAGUGAGGUCAUCUUGCGGUUAG